GGACGGGUGAGUAACACGUGGAUAACCUACCUAUAAGACUGGGAUAACUUCGGGAAACCGGAGCUAAUACCGGAUAAUAUAUUGAACCGCAUGGUUCAAUAGUGAAAGACGGUUUUGCUGUCACUUAUAGAUGGAUCCGCGCCGCAUUAGCUAGUUGGUAAGGUAACGGCUUACCAAGGCAACGAUGCGUAGCCGACCUGAGAGGGUGAUCGGCCACACUGGAACUGAGACACGGUCCAGACUCCUACGGGAGGCAGCAGUAGGGAAUCUUCCGCAAUGGGCGAAAGCCUGACGGAGCAACGCCGCGUGAGUGAUGAAGGUCUUCGGAUCGUAAAACUCUGUUAUUAGGGAAGAACAAAUGUGUAAGUAACUAUGCACGUCUUGACGGUACCUAAUCAGAAAGCCACGGCUAACUACGUGCCAGC
rnacentral:rRNA from 1 species